GCGCUUGAGAGAACUCGGGUGAAGGAACUAGGCAAAAUGGUACCGUAACUUCGGGAGAAGGUACGCUCCUAGCGGUGAUGAGACUUGCUCUCUAAGCUGCCGGGAGUCGCAGAUACCAGGUGGCUGCAACUGUUUAUUAAAAACACAGCACUGUGCAAAAUCGAAAGAUGACGUAUACGGUGUGACGCCUGCCCGGUGCCGGAAGGUUAAUUGAUGGGGUUAGACUUCGGUCGAAGCUCUUGAUCGAAGCCCCGGUAAACGGCGGCCGUAACUAUAACGGUCCUAAGGUAGCGAAAUUCCUUGUCGGGUAAGUUCCGACCUGCACGAAUGGCGUAAUGAUGGCCACGCUGUCUCCACCCGAGACUCAGUGAAAUUGAAAUCGCAGUGAAGAUGCUGCGUCCCCGCGGCUAGACGGAAAGACCCCGUGAACCUUUACUAUAGCUUGGCACUGAACAUUGACCCUACAUGUGUAGGAUAGGUGGGAGACGUUGAAGCAACCGCGCCAGUGGUUGUGGAGUCAAUCUUGAAAUACCACCCUUGUAUGCUUGAUGUUCUAACGUUGGCCCCUUAUCGGGGUUACGGACAGUGCCUGGUGGGUAGUUUGACUGGGGCGGUCUCCUCCCAAAGAGUAACGGAGGAGCACGAAGGUGGGCUAAUCACGGUCGGACAUCGUGAGGUUAGUGCAAUGGCAUAAGCCCGCUUGACUGCGAGAAUGACAAUUCGAGCAGGUGCGAAAGCAGGUCAUAGUGAUCCGGUGGUUCUGAAUGGAAGGGCCAUCGCUCAACGGAUAAAAGGUACUCCGGGGAUAACAGGCUGAUACCGCCCAAGAGUUCAUAUCGACGGCGGUGUUUGGCACCUCGAUGUCGGCUCAUCACAUCCUGGGGCUGAAGUCGGUCCCAAGGGUAUGGCUGUUCGCCAUUUAAAGUGGUACGCGAGCUGGGUUUAGAACGUCGUGAGACAGUUCGGUCCCUAUCUGCCGUGGGCGUUGGAUGAUUGAGAGGGGCUGCUCCUAGUACGAGAGGACCGGAGUGGACGAACCGCUGGUGUUCGGGUUGUGUCGCCAGACGCAUUGCCCGGUAGCUAAGUUCGGAAUCGAUAACCGCUGAAAGCAUCUAAGCGGGAAGCGAGCCUCAAGAUGAGUCAUCCCUAGACCUUUAAGGUCUCUAAAGGGUUGUUGAAGACUACAACGUUGAUAGGUCGGGUGUGUAAGUGCUGUGAGGCAUUGAGCUAACCGAUACUAAUUGCCCGUGAGGCUUAACCAUACAACACCCAAGGGGUUU
rnacentral:rRNA from 1 species